ACGAACGCUGGCGGCGUGCUUAACACAUGCAAGUCGAGCGGUAAGGCCCUUUCGGGGGUACACGAGCGGCGAACGGGUGAGUAACACGUGGGUGACCUGCCUCUAGCUCUGGGAUAAGCCUGGGAAGCUGGGUCUAAUACCGGAUAUGACCUCGCGGUGCAUGUUGCGGGGUGGAAAGCCUUGUGCGGCUAGGGAUGGGCCCGCGGCCUAUCAGCUUGUUGGUGGGGUGANGGCCUACCAAAGGCGACGACGGGUAGCCGGCCUGA
rnacentral:rRNA from 1 species